rnacentral:rRNA from 1 species
AAAGUUGUUGCAGUUAAAAAGCUCGUAGUUGAACCUUGGGCCUGGUUGGUCGGUCCGCCUCGCGGCGUGCACUGAUCCGACCGGGCCUUUCCUUCUGGGGAACCGCAUGUUCUUCAUUGAGUGUGUCGGGGAUCCAGGACUUUUACUUUGAAAAAAUUAGAGUGUUCAAAGCAGGCCUAUGCUCGAAUACAUUAGCAUGGAAUAAUAGAAUAGGACGUGUGGUUCUAUUUUGUUGGUUUCUAGGACCGCCGUAAUGAUUAAUAGGGAUAGUCGGGGGCAUCAGUAUUCCGUUGUCAGAGGUGAAAUUCUUGGAUUUACGGAAGACUAACUACUGCGAAAGCAUUUGCCAAGGAUGUUUUCAUUAAUCAGUGAACGAAAGUUAGGGGAUCGAAGACGAUCAGAUACCGUCGUAGUCUUAACCAUAAACUAUGCCGACUAGGGAUCGGGCGAUGUUAUCUUUUUGACUCGCUCGGCACCUUACGAGAAAUCAAAGUUUUUGGGUUCUGGGGGGAGUAUGGUCGCAAGGCUGAAACUUAAAGAAAUUGACGGAAGGGCACCACCAGGAGUGGAGCCUGCGGCUUAAUUUGACUCAACACGGGGAAACUCACCAGGUCCAGACACAAUAAGGAUUGACAGAUUGAGAGCUCUUUCUUGAUUUUGUGGGUGGUGGUGCAUGGCCGUUCUUAGUUGGUGGAGUGAUUUGUCUGCUUAAUUGCGAUAACGAACGAGACCUUAACCUGCUAAAUAGCCCGGCUAGCUUUGGCUGGUCGCUGGCUUCUUAGAGGGACUAUCGGCUCAAGCCGAUGGAAGUUUGAGGCAAUAACAGGUCUGUGAUGCCCUUAGAUGUUCUGGGCCGCACGCGCGCUACACUGACAGAGCCAACGAGUUCAUCACCUUGGCCCGAAAGGUCUGGGUAAUCUGUUAAACUCUGUCGUGCUGGGGAUAGAGCAUUG